GAUGAACGCUAGCUACAGGCUUAACACAUGCAAGUCGAGGGGCAGCAUGAUCUGUGCUUGCACAGAUUGAUGGCGACCGGCGCACGGGUGAGUAACGCGUAUCCAACCUUCCCCUUAGUAGGGCAUAGCCCGGCGAAAGUCGGAUUAAUCCCCUAUGUUAUAUUUAGAGGACAUCUGAAGAAUACCAAAGGUUUACCGGUAUAGGAUGGGGAUGCGUCUGAUUAGGUUGUUGGCGGGGUAACGGCCCACCAAGCCGACGAUCAGUAGGGGUUCUGAGAGGAAGGUCCCCCACAUUGGAACUGAGACACGGUCCAAACUCC
rnacentral:rRNA from 1 species